UACGGGGGGUGCAAGCGUUGUUCGGAAUUACUGGGCGUAAAGGGUGCGUAGGCGGCCUAGUAAGUCGGACGUGAAAUCCCUCGGCUCAACCGGGGAACUGCGUCCGAUACUGGUGGGCUUGAAUCCGGGAGAGGGAUGUGGAAUUCCAGGUGUAGCGGUGAAAUGCGUAGAUAUCUGGAGGAACACCGGUGGCGAAGGCGGCAUCCUGGACCGGUAUUGACGCUGAUGCGCGAAAGCCAGGGGAGCAAACGGG
rnacentral:rRNA from 1 species